rnacentral:rRNA from 1 species
ACUCAAAUGAAUUGACGGGGGCUCACACAAGCGGUGGAGCAUGUGGCUUAAUUCGAGGCUACGCGAAGAACCUUAUCCUGGGCUUGACAUGUCCGAAAGGGGCAAGAAGUAGGGGACGGAAACGCACCCCCAACGGUAUCCAAUCCGGAACUUGCCACAGGUGCUGCAUGGCUGUCGUCAGCUCGUGUCGUGAGAUGUUGGGUUAAGUCCCGUAACGAGCGAAACCCUUGUUUCCAGUUGCCAGCGGGUUAUGCCGGGGACUCUGGAAAGACUGCCGGUGUCAAACCGGAGGAAGGUGGGGAUGACGUCAAGUCCUCAUGGCCUUUAUGCCCAGGGCUGCACACGUGCUACAAUGGCACGCACAAAGGGAUGCCAACCCGCGAGGGGGAGCAAAUCCCAAAAAACGUGCCCCAGUUCAGAUUGCAGGCUGCAACUCGCCUGCAUGAAGUUGGAAUCGCUAGUAAUCGCGGGUCAGCAACACCGCGGUGAAUGUGUUCCUGAGCCUUGCACACACCGCCCGU